rnacentral:lncRNA from 1 species
AACACCUUGCCCACCUUCUGCACACCAAGCGUGGAUUCUGCAAAAUGUGAGCCCAACAGGAAGCUGCCUGCAAUUUCAGGUAGCUUUUCUGACUCUUAAAGAGAUCUCAAGUAUACUUUCAGAGAAAUGCCAGCAAAAACUGUAGUCAUUCGGGAAGGAAAAAGUCUGGAAGAAAAAGAUACAGUGAACUACUAGCACAACGAGGAGUUUGAAAAGUUCAUGACAGCUCACAGUUCACGAUGGUGGCGAUCUUAAGGAUACAGAAAGCUCAUUCCUCAUGCAGGGAAGAAGAAAAUAUUCUAAAGAAGAGAUAAGCAUAUUCCGCGAAAUCAAAAAAGAAAUCUAUUUUUUGAAGAUGUCAUCACUGCAGCGUGGAGUCAGGAAAUGAAGAAAACAACAGAGCUUUCCUCAGGUCAUCUUGGGGUCUUUCAGUAAACUGAAAGUAACUGAGUUAGAAAGGAAUCUCCGGGAGAGGCCAGGGGAGUACCACCAGCCCACCACUACAGAGAAGUUCAAAGCUAAGCUACUCACAGAAAACAAUGCUCAACCACAGGGCGGAUGUGCUGUUUUUCACACCCCAAGUCAUUUAUCUGAAAAGCAAUAGCAGUAAAUUCUUCAAGUGUUUGCUGUGAUCGGAUUUCUCCAGAAGAAAGAAGAUAAAGAAUGCUAAACUUCUCCAUCCCAUGUUUGCCUCACACACCUGUUUCUCCUAGGCAGAUUCUUUAAACCUUUUUUUCCUCACUUUUCAACAAGAAACUAUAAAAUUAAAACAAUUAUUUUUAAUCUUUGGGGAUAUUCACUUAAUUAAUAUGUUCACUGUUAUAUCUGUUGUGACAAUAAGAGAAUCUCCCUGGAAAGUGAACACAAUUUCCACAUGGGCAAAUGACAGGAGUAUUAAUUAGCUCAACAUGCCACUAAGGCUUUAACUCUAAUAGUCUAU